rnacentral:pre_miRNA from 1 species
CGUGUUCACUGUUGGCCUUGAUGUGUCGUAUUGUGGAUCAUAAGGCACGCGGUGAAUGCCAA